rnacentral:rRNA from 1 species
UACGAAGGGGGGCUAGCGUUGUUCGGAAUUACUGGGCGUAAAGCGCACGUAGGCGGAUCGAUCAGUCAGGGGUGAAAUCCCAGAGCUCAACUCUGGAACUGCCUUUGAUACUGUCGAUCUAGAGUAUGGAAGAGGUGAGUGGAAUUCCGAGUGUAGAGGUGAAAUUCGUAGAUAUUCGGAGGAACACCAGUGGCGAAGGCGGCUCACUGGUCCAUUACUGACGCUGAGGUGCGAAAAGCGUGGGGAGCAAACAGG